rnacentral:rRNA from 1 species
CCUACGAGUGGCUGCAGUGAGGAAUAUUGGUCAAUGGGCGGGAGCCUGAACCAGCCAAGUCGCGUGAGGGAAGACGGUCCUAUGGAUUGUAAACCUCUUUAGGCGGGGAGCAAUGCCGGGCAAGCGUGCACGGAGGGAGAGUACCCGCAGAAUAAGCAUCGGAUAACUCCGUGCCAGCAGCCGCGGUAAUACGGAGGAUGCGAGCCUUAUCCGGAUUGAUUGGGUUGAAAGGGUGCGUAGGUGGCAUCAUAAGUAGCUAGUGCAAUAUGGUGGCUCAACCAUUCAGACUAUUAGCUAAACUGUUAAGCUCGAGACCGUUAGGGGUAACUGGAAUUUCUAGUGUAGGAGUGAAAUCCGUAGAUAUUAGAAGGAACACCAAUAGCGUAGGCAGGUUGCUGGGACGGUUCUGACACUAAGGCACGAAAGCGUAGGGAGCAAACGGGAUUAGAUACCCGGGUAGUC